rnacentral:rRNA from 1 species
UUCAACAACGGAUCUCUUGGUUCUGGCAUCGAUGAAGAACGCAGCGAAAUGCGAUAAGUAAUGUGAAUUGCAGAAUUCAGUGAAUCAUCGAAUCUUUGAACGCACAUUGCGCCCGUCAGUAUUCUGGCGGGCAUGCCUGUUCGAGCGUCAUUACGC